UUCCGUAGGUGAACCUGCGGAAGGGUUGUUA
rnacentral:rRNA from 1 species